rnacentral:rRNA from 1 species
UGUCCGGAUUCAUUGGGCGUAAAGCGCGUGUAGGCGGCCAGGUAGGUCUGCUGUGAAAACUCGAGGCUCAACCUCGAGACGUCGGCGGAAACCAUCUGGCUAGAGUCCGGAAGAGGAGAGUGGAAUUCCUGGUGUAGCGGUGAAAUGCGCAGAUAUCAGGAAGAACCCCCGUGGCGAAGGCGGCUCUCUGGGACGGUACUGACGCUGAGACGCGAAAGCGUGGGGAGCGAACAGG